rnacentral:rRNA from 1 species
GGACCCGCACAAGUAGUGGAGCAUGUGGUUUAAUUCGAAGAUACGCGCAGAACCUUACCAACACUUGACAUGUUCGUCGCGACUUUAAGAGAUUAAAGUUUUCGGUUCGGCCGGACGAAACACAGGUGCUGCAUGGCUGUCGUCAGCUCGUGUCGUGAGAUGUUGGGUUAAGUCCCGCAACGAGCGCAACCCUCACUUUUAGUUGCCAUCAUUUAGUUGGGCACUCUGAAAGAACUGCCAGUGAUAAGCUGGAGGAAGGUGGGGAUGACGUCAAGUCCUCAUGGCCCUUACGUGUUGGGCUACACACGUGCUACAAUGGUAUCUACAACAGGAAGCAAAACAGCGAUGUUAAGCAAAUCCUUAAAAGAUACCUCAGUUCGGAUUGCACUCUGCAACUCGAGUGCAUGAAGCUGGAAUUACUAG